AUCCUUUUUUGUUUGUAAGCAUGAUGACUGGAUGUUCUCGUGUUUAUAUGAUAUGUGCCUCCCUUGUACCUAAUAUGAUGUUAACACAUUACCCUUCUGAAA